UGGGGAAUAUUGGACAAUGGGCGAAAGCCUGAUCCAGCCAUGCCGCGUGUGUGAAGAAGGUCUUCGGAUUGUAAAGCACUUUAAGUUGGGAGGAAGGGCAGUAAGUUAAUACCUUGCUGUUUUGACGGUACCAGAGGAAUAAGCACCAGCUAACUCCGUGCCAGCAGCCGCGGUAAUACGGAGGGUGCGAGCGUUAUCCGGAUUUACUGGGUUUAAAGGGUGCGUAGGUGGGCUUAUAAGUCAGUGGUGAAAUCUCCGAGCUUAACUUGGAAACUGCCGUUGAUACUAUAGGUCUUGAAUUAUCUGGAGGUAAGCGGAAUAUGUCAUGUAGCGGUGAAAUGCUUAGAUAUGACAUAGAACACCAAUUGCGAAGGCAGCUUACUACAUAUAAAUUGACGCUGAGGCACGAAAGCGUGGGGAUCAAACA
rnacentral:rRNA from 1 species